AACGAACGCUGGCGGCAUGCCUAACACAUGCAAGUCGAACGAGACCUUCGGGUCUAGUGGCGCACGGGUGCGUAACGCGUGGGAACCUGCCCUUAGGUUCGGAAUAACUCCCCGAAAGGGGUGCUAAUACCGGAUAAUGUCUUCGGACCAAAGAUUUAUCGCCUUUGGAUGGGCCCGCGUUGGAUUAGCUAGUUGGUAGGGUAAAAGCCUACCAAGGCGACGAUCCAUAGCUGGUCUGAGAGGAUGAUCAGCCACACUGGGACUGAGCCACGGCCCAGACUCCUACGGGAGGCAGCAGUGGGGAAUAUUGAACAAUGGGCGAAAGCCUGAUCCAGCAAUGCCGCGUGAGUGAUGAAGGCCUUAGGGUUGUAAAGCUCUUUUACCCGGGAUGAUAAUGACAGUACCGGGAGAAUAAGCUCCGGCUAACUCCGUG
rnacentral:rRNA from 1 species